rnacentral:rRNA from 1 species
AACGAACGCUGGCGGCAGGCUUAACACAUGCAAGUCGAACGCCCCGCAAGGGGAGUGGCGCACGGGUGCGUAACGCGUGGGAACAUGCCCUUAGGUGCGGAACAACGUCGGGAAACUGACGCUAAUACCGCAUAAUAUCUCCGGAUCAAAGAUUUAUCGCCUAAGGUUUGGCCAGCGUUAGAUUAGGUAGUUGGUGGGGUAAUGGCCUCCCAAGCCGACGAUCUAUAGCUGGUCUGAGAGGAUGAUCAGCCUCACUGGAACUGAGACACGGUCCAGACUACUGCGGGAGGCAGCAGUGAGAAAUAUUGGACAAUGGGGGAAACCCUGAUCCAGCCAUGCCGCGUGAGUGAUGAAGGCCUUAGGGUUGUAAAGCUCUUUUAGAUGGGAAGAUAAUGACUGUACCAUCAGAAUAAGCCCCGGCUAAAUUCGUGCCAGCCGCCGCCGUAA